UGAAUUCAUGAUCUUUCUGUUGGUGCAACUUAAUAAAUAAAUAAAGGCAAAAAUAUAUCUAUAUAUAUAAAAAUGAAUUGCUGUUCGUUAGCCUCGCUAAAACUCGAGAGCGGCUGGACCGAUUUGGCUAAUUUUGGUCUUGAAUUAUUUGUGGAAGUCCAGAGAAAGUUUAAAAGAAUUCCUCAUAUUUCUAUCGCAUUCAUAUUGAUGAAAAAGGAAAAGCAAAUCACAUAUCAAUAAACAAAUGACUGAAUUUGAAUUUACAUAAACUACUUUGCAACGGCCACGUGAGAGGGCAACUUCAUAUAGUGUGGUAAAAAUCUUCUAGCUAUGAUAUUGUUACCAACGUUGAGUUUAUAAAGUUUUAAUUGAUUACCUACACAUACAUACUUCGUUGUGUAAAAGCAGUGCGGAAUGAGACGGAGUUGAUUUAUUUGAAAUUAUAACUAAUUGCGAUGACAUUGAAUGAAAUCAAAUUGACUGAAACACUGAAAUGACUGAACUAUGGACUGAAACGAUUAUCGUAUGCUCAUCGUAUGAUUGCUUCAAGAUACAAAUAAGAGGGUAGGUAUUAGGAUGGAAGGAAGCAAACAAGAAAGAUGGAGAUGAUUGGGCCCAUAACUAUAAGAGCCACUUCCAAGUCUCACAUAUCGUACAUCAAAACCUCAAAGGCCCAAUUCAAAUUAUUUCUGGCAUUGUGAAGAUCGGUAAGCACAAAAGAUCACC